rnacentral:tRNA from 7 species
CGGGGCGUAGCGCAGCCUGGUAGCGUACUUGCAUGGGGUGCAAGGGGUCGUGAGUUCGAAUCUCACCGCUCCGACCA